AGGAACCUCCGCUGUCUCCCCAUGGUGCUGAACGCCCGCCCCGCCGGAAGCCGUUGCUAGCCAGGUAAAGUCUGGACCUGUGUGCCUCCUUCAUCAGCAUCCCCCUUAGUGUCACCACUACUAAGGACAUGAGGAGGAUGAGAUGUCUGAUGUCUAACAGUGAAAGUGUGGUAGUUCAAGUCCAAAAGUGACCAGACUUCAGACAAAGAAUGUGUAGAGAAGCUGCUGAGGUCUCCACACAAGUGUCUGACACCAGUCCCACCAAGGGGGAUAUGAAAUUCUCACAACUCAGCCUAUUCUCCUCAGUCCCUGAGGAUGCAACUUCCACCCCAUCUUUGCCUCUCCAGAAUAUGGGCUUGCUUGCAUCUUUCUCUGAGGGAUCUAGUGCUGGCAUUUUUAGAUACUAGAAGACAUGCUUCAGUUUGGCUGGAAAAUACAAGCUUGAAGAAAGAACUUAAAAGUCUGUGGCAAACCUGAAAAUAAAGACACAAAUCUACAUCCAUGUUGGCAAGUGAUACGAAGUUUUCUCCUGGGGAAUAUCUAAUAUCUGCAAAGAAGCCCCACACCUAAGGGAAGGUUGAUCCGGGAUGAUGUCACCUAUGUGAAUCAUAAAGGAAUUUUCUCCUUCACUGCUCAGAUGAGGAUUUUUAAUGAUUGCCUCCCAUUUACUUCACAACAC